UCUACUUGACAUAGCAGGAGGUGGCCGUGACAUAAACAAAAAUCUGGAGAGAUCUUGGAAUCGUUAUCAAGAAUUCAAGAUCCUAGGACUCGAAGAUACGCGCGCAGCUAGCAAGGCUUGGUUUCACCCAAAUAUUUUUGUAGCCAUCACAAACAUCUCGAUCGUCCUCGAUCCAUCCCGGCUAGUUUUCGACGGGUAUGGAUAGUUCAACCUGCAUCGGAAUUCACGCGCUCCCUGUUGCAAGUUGCUGGUACAGGCCUGUGACGUAGUAGAAGGGUGGUGGAGUGGAGAGUGGUGCUAACGCAGUACACUCCUACUCCUACACAGCUAACGUCCUGUACCAGCAAUCCAUAAAGUGCAGUUCCCCGAGGCAUCUGCCAUCCUUACCACCACGGAUCGAACUCUAUCUCGCUCGGUCUGCCAAAAAAACUCUCAAUCAAGCAAAAGAUUUCAUCGGAUAUAUCGCCUGAGCGUGUCAGCAACUCGCCUUUGCAUAUGUUAAGUCUUUGUUUUAUUCGUGCUUUCGCAUUUGUUAAGUCUUUGUUUGAUUGGGCAUUCGAUCCCGACGUGUGUGAUGGCGUGCCGAUAAGACAUGGAUGUAUGCUGUCCUGCAGAUGGGUCGUGCGUGCAGUACGGAUGCUACAGGGGUUCCAGCGAUUGAGUGCAGAUCAACCGGAAUUUGAAACCGUACGUGGGUGGAUGUCUACUCUAUAGUAAUCCCUGUUUUGUUUUCUACCGAAGACACGUGCUACUUAUUUUAUUCAUCUACGAAGCCAGAAGUUUCAGGAGGCACUCGAUAUGUUCUACAAGACAGGUUUAGAGAGAAGUUUGCAUUGAGGGGGAGUGUUGAAGGAAAAACAAUACAAACUUUUAGAGCCUUCUUCCCAACUCAUGAUCCAUGAUAUUUUCCAUGAAGGCACUAGAUAUUGUUGCUAUGAACAAAUUAGAAUAGUGUAGAACAUAGAUAUUUGUUUAGUGAAAACUCUAGAAGGGGACACAUGCCAUCAUCCUAUGAACUCUCUUAGCCUAUAAAUAGAGAUCCCCUUCCUUAGCCUAUAAACUGCCUCAGUUGUUUGAAAAUUUGUAACUAACAUAUAUAGUGUCUUAGCAACCUGCACAAUAAUAACGAAAUUAAAAACUGGAAGAGUAAAACCAGUUGAUCCGUAGUAAUUAAAGACUAUUAAUCCUACCUUGACAAUAGUGCUAAACUGAUCAUUACAAAAUAGGAGUGCAAUGGCCUUUUCU
rnacentral:lncRNA from 1 species